rnacentral:rRNA from 1 species
UUAAGCGACUAAGCGUACACGGUGGAUGCCCUGGCAGUCAGAGGCGAUGAAGGACGUGCUAAUCUGCGAUAAGCGUCGGUAAGGUGAUAUGAACCGUUAUAACCGGCGAUUUCCGAAUGGGGAAACCCAGUGUGUUUCGACACACUAUCAUUAACUGAAUCCAUAGGUUAAUGAGGCGAACCGGGGGAACUGAAACAUCUAAGUACCCCGAGGAAAAGAAAUCAACCGAGAUUCCCCCAGUAGCGGCGAGCGAACGGGGAGGAGCCCAGAGCCUGAAUCAGUGUGUGUGUUAGUGGAAGCGUCUGGAAAGGCGCGCGAUACAGGGUGACAGCCCCGUACACAAAAAUGCACAUGCUGUGAGCUCGAUGAGUAGGGCGGGACACGUGGUAUCCUGUCUGAAUAUGGGGGGACCAUCCUCCAAGGCUAAAUACUCCUGACUGACCGAUAGUGAACCAGUACCGUGAGGGAAAGGCGAAAAGAACCCCGGCGAGGGGAGUGAAAAAGAACCUGAAACCGUGUACGUACAAGCAGUGGGAGCACAGAGCAAUCUGUGUGACUGCGUACCUUUUGUAUAAUGGGUCAGCGACUUAUAUUCUGUAGCAAGGUUAACCGAAUAGGGGAGCCGAAGGGAAACCGAGUCUUAACUGGGCGUUAAGUUGCAGGGUAUAGACCCGAAACCCGGUGAUCUAGCCAUGGGCAGGUUGAAGGUUGGGUAACACUAACUGGAGGACCGAACCGACUAAUGUUGAAAAAUUAGCGGAUGACUUGUGGCUGGGGGUGAAAGGCCAAUCAAACCGGGAGAUAGCUGGUUCUCCCCGAAAGCUAUUUAGGUAGCGCCUCGUGAAUUCAUCUCCGGGGGUAGAGCACUGUUUCGGCAAGGGGGUCAUCCCGACUUACCAACCCGAUGCAAACUGCGAAUACCGGAGAAUGUUAUCACGGGAGACACACGGCGGGUGCUAACGUCCGUCGUGAAGAGGGAAACAACCCAGACCGCCAGCUAAGGUCCCAAAGUCAUGGUUAAGUGGGAAACGAUGUGGGAAGGCCCAGACAGCCAGGAUGUUGGCUUAGAAGCAGCCAUCAUUUAAAGAAAGCGUAAUAGCUCACUGGUCGAGUCGGCCUGCGCGGAAGAUGUAACGGGGCUAAACCAUGCACCGAAGCUGCGGCAGCGACGCUGAUGCGUUGUUGGGUAGGGGAGCGUUCUGUAAGCCUGUGAAGGUGUGCUGUGAGGCAUGCUGGAGGUAUCAGAAGUGCGAAUGCUGACAUAAGUAACGAUAAAGCGGGUGAAAAGCCCGCUCGCCGGAAGACCAAGGGUUCCUGUCCAACGUUAAUCGGGGCAGGGUGAGUCGACCCCUAAGGCGAGGCCGAAAGGCGUAGUCGAUGGGAAACAGGUUAAUAUUCCUGUACUUGGUGUUACUGCGAAGGGGGGACGGAGAAGGCUAUGUUGGCCGGGCGACGGUUGUCCCGGUUUAAGCGUGUAGGCUGGUUUUCCAGGCAAAUCCGGAAAACUAAGGCUGAGGCGUGAUGACGAGGCACUACGGUGCUGAAGCAACAAAUGCCCUGCUUCCAGGAAAAGCCUCUAAGCAUCAGGUAACAUCAAAUCGUACCCCAAACCGACACAGGUGGUCAGGUAGAGAAUACCAAGGCGCUUGAGAGAACUCGGGUGAAGGAACUAGGCAAAAUGGUGCCGUAACUUCGGGAGAAGGCACGCUGAUAUGUAGGUGAAGUCCCUCGCGGAUGGAGCUGAAAUCAGUCGAAGAUACCAGCUGGCUGCAACUGUUUAUUAAAAACACAGCACUGUGCAAACACGAAAGUGGACGUAUACGGUGUGACGCCUGCCCGGUGCCGGAAGGUUAAUUGAUGGGGUCAGCGCAAGCGAAGCUCUUGAUCGAAGCCCCGGUAAACGGCGGCCGUAACUAUAACGGUCCUAAGGUAGCGAAAUUCCUUGUCGGGUAAGUUCCGACCUGCACGAAUGGCGUAAUGAUGGCCAGGCUGUCUCCACCCGAGACUCAGUGAAAUUGAACUCACUGUGAAGAUGCAGUGUACCCGCGGCAAGACGGAAAGACCCCGUGAACCUUUACUAUAGCUUGACACUGAACAUUGAGCCUUGAUGUGUAGGAUAGGUGGGAGGCUUUGAAGUGUGGACGCCAGUCUGCAUGGAGCCGACCUUGAAAUACCACCCUUUAAUGUUUGAUGUUCUAACGUUGACCCGUAAUCCGGGUUGCGGACAGUGUCUGGUGGGUAGUUUGACUGGGGCGGUCUCCUCCUAAAGAGUAACGGAGGAGCACGAAGGUUGGCUAAUCCUGGUCGGACAUCAGGAGGUUAGUGCAAUGGCAUAAGCCAGCUUGACUGCGAGCGUGACGGCGCGAGCAGGUGCGAAAGCAGGUCAUAGUGAUCCGGUGGUUCUGAAUGGAAGGGCCAUCGCUCAACGGAUAAAAGGUACUCCGGGGAUAACAGGCUGAUACCGCCCAAGAGUUCAUAUCGACGGCGGUGUUUGGCACCUCGAUGUCGGCUCAUCACAUCCUGGGGCUGAAGUAGGUCCCAAGGGUAUGGCUGUUCGCCAUUUAAAGUGGUACGCGAGCUGGGUUUAGAACGUCGUGAGACAGUUCGGUCCCUAUCUGCCGUGGGCGCUGGAGAACUGAGGGGGGCUGCUCCUAGUACGAGAGGACCGGAGUGGACGCAUCACUGGUGUUCGGGUUGUCAUGCCAAUGGCACUGCCCGGUAGCUAAAUGCGGAAGAGAUAAGUGCUGAAAGCAUCUAAGCACGAAACUUGCCCCGAGAUGAGUUCUCCCUGACUCCUUGAGAGUCCUGAAGGAACGUUGAAGACGACGACGUUGAUAGGCCGGAUGUGUAAGCGCAGCGAUGCGUUGAGCUAACCGGUACUAAUGAACCGUGAGGCUUAACCUU